CAGUAGGUUGUGCGGCAACGAAGUCAAAUCUAUCGGUCAUUUGCUUGUUGGAUGCACACUUAACAGAUUUUUGAGGUUAAAAUCCUAGAAGGUAGGCACAUUCCAUGCUUUGUGGUGGAGGUUAGGGGUGUACGGGAGUUUUUGUUGGGGAACAGCACCGAAGGAACAACAGCGAAGGACCUGGCUUCGGUUGCAGCUUGUUGGUGGACGAUUUAGCGGGAAAGAAAAAAUAUGAUUAUUCAGAACCAAUCAUUAGACCCCUUAGUGGCUGCUAGACGGCUUCGAGAUGUGGAGAGAGAUUGGAUUGAGUUUUACAGUACUAACUGUUAGUGUAGAUUGUAAUAGUGGAAGUAAGAUUCGUGAAUAGUUGUGUCUCUUCAUAAAGUAGUUAUUUUUAUAAAAAGAUUCGUCUUUUCAUUGAUGUAAAGAUAUGUCUCUUCACGAAGAGAUAUAUUUCUUCACGAAGAGAUAUAUUUCUUCACGAAGAGAUAUGAACCUUUUGUGAAAGAAUAUGUAUUUUCGUUAUUUGUGAAAGGAUGUGUCCUUUUGUAAAAGAAUAUAACUUUAAAGUUGUGUUCUUUCAUCGUGACCAUUCAUCUUCUAUAAAUAGGAAAUGUUUGAAGACUUUAAGGGUAACAUAAUCAAUACUUUCUCCUUCCUAAUUUUUUAUAUUGAUUUUUAAGAGAGAAGUUCUUAAGGAAAAGUCUUCAAAAGUGCUGUUUGUAGUCUUUCGACAGUCUUGUUGUAUCCUGGAGGUGAUUUGCUGGUAAUCCGACAGCAUACAUUCUAGUGGGGGCAAAUAUUACCUUAAAGAAAGUGAACUUAUACGCCUCAAGACCAUAAUUUACUUGAUCUCCAUUCAUAUUCCCCAACACUAAUUGAUGUAUUUCGAAUUAGUGAUGUAAUCUCUAUAUUAUUUAUUUCUAUUUUUUCCUUCCUCUGUCACCUUUCACUUUCUCAAGGCUCCAUUGCCUCAAUUUCUACAGCUAAAUUUAUUUUUCAAAUAAAUAAAACGGAUAGCGUGUUAUCUUAUCUUAUCUUAAACAACGAGGACUCGUUGCUUGAUUAUUAUCCCUUAAUAACUUUGUCCCUUUUUAAACUUUCGUCCUUUAACCUUGUUUCUAUUUUUUCUACUAUUAGAUUUCUA
rnacentral:lncRNA from 1 species